GUCUUUUUGCGCACCUUUCAAGCAGUAACCUGCGCCGUUUAUUAAAAGGGGGCCUCAGUUUUUGUCGUCCGCUGAACGUGGUUUUCUCGGCACAAAUCAAUUUCAAUAAAUUAGACGACAGGUGUAUACAUUGGAUAUGCAUUUUGCCAACUGGCAUUAUAUUUCAAACUAGGCAUUGGUUGUUAUAUGGGGAGAAGUCUAACAGAAGGCCUAUCAGACAGGUGCCAACUGGUUCUUCUAAAGGCAGGAAAAUCUUAGAGACUUGGCCAAAGUCAGGGGUAACGGCAUACGUAAUACUUAAAUGUUACAUGGAACUUAAAUGCUGUUAGAAUGGCUUUCAUUGGCAGCUUAAUUUUUUUGUACAGUCUGAAUUGCCUUUAGAAUUCUCAUGAUAUAUGUUUGUCGUGAUAUAUAUCAUUGGC